rnacentral:rRNA from 1 species
CCGGUCUCGCGAAUGCCUUAGAUUAAGUUUGAUCAUGGCUCAGGNUGAACGCUNGGCGGCGUGCCUAAUACAUGCAAGUCGAGCGAAUGGAUUGAGAGCUUGCUCUCAAGAAGUUAGCGGCGGACGGGUGAGUAACACGUGGGUAACCUGGCCCAUAAGACUGGGAUAACUCCGGGAAACCGGGGGCUAAUACCGGAUAAUAUUUUGAACUGCAUGGGUUCGAAAUUGAAAGGCGGCUUCGGCUGUCACUUAUGGAUGGACCCGCGUCGCAUUAGCUAGUUGGUGAGGUAACGGCUCACCAAGGCAACGAUGCGUAGCCGACCUGAGAGGGUGAUCGGCCACACUGGGA